GAUUUAGUAGCUCAGCUGGUAGAGCACAUCCCUUUUAAGGAUGGGGUCCUGGGUUCGAAUCCCAGCUAGAUCA
rnacentral:tRNA from 1 species